GGCCUAGUGUUAAAUUUCGGGUUAAGCCCAAUAGAGGUUAUAACUACAAAUCUAAAAACCCUAAAGAAGAAUAUACAGUUGUUCCCCUGCCUCUCUCACGCUAUAUUUCAACUUUCCUCUAGUUUUCUCUCGCUAGAAUCGAACAAACAAAAUAUUGCUCACGCAUUUUCUCCUUAUCUUUUCCUUAUCCGAAACGAAAAAAAAUAUUGCCUUUAUUUCCAAUGGUUUUCACUUUUGAAAUCUCUGUUUCGGUUUCAUAACAAUAUAAACUCUUCUUCUAAUUCUCUUUAUCCUCAGUCAAACAAUAAUUGUUCUUAA